ensembl:rRNA 5S_rRNA 5S ribosomal RNA
GCCAGCAGCCAUAUCACUCUGCAACUCACAACUGGUAACCCACUGAAGCUAAGCAGGUGUGAGCCUGGUCAGUACCUGGAUGGGAGACCUCGUGGGAAAAACUAAGGUUGCUGCUGGAA